rnacentral:rRNA from 1 species
UACGAAGGGGGCUAGCGUUGCUCGGAAUUACUGGGCGUAAAGCGCACGUAGGCGGCUUUCUAAGUCGGGGGUGAAAUCCUGGAGCUCAACUCCAGGACUGCCUUCGAUACUGGAGAGCUUGAGUCCGGGAGAGGUGAGUGGAACUGCGAGUGUAGAGGUGAAAUUCGUAGAUAUUCGCAAGAACACCAGUGGCGAAGGCGGCUCACUGGCCCGGUACUGACGCUGAGGUGCGAAAGCGUGGGGAGCAAACAGG